GAUAACGGCGUCGAGCGGCGGACGGGUGAGUAAUGCCUAGGAAAUUGCCCUGGUGUGGGGGAUAACCAUUGGAAACGAUGGCUAAUACCGCAUAAUACCUACGGGUCAAAGAGGGGGACCUUCGGGCCUCUCGCGUCAGGAUAUGCCUAGGUGGGAUUAGCUAGUUGGUGAGGUAAUGGCUCACCAAGGCGACGAUCCCUAGCUGGUCUGAGAGGAUGAUCAGCCACACUGGAACUGAGACACGGUCCAGACUCCUACGGGAGGCAGCAGUGGGGAAUAUUGCACAAUGGGCGCAAGCCUGAUGCAGCCAUGCCGCGUGUGUGAAGAAGGCCUUCGGGUUGUAAAGCACUUUCAGUCGUGAGGAAGGUAGUGUAGUUAAUAGCUGCAUUAUUUGACGUUAGCGACAGAAGAAGCACCGGCUAACUCCGUGCCAGCAGCCGCGGUAAUACGGAGGGUGCGAGCGUUAAUCGGAAUUACUGGGCGUAAAGCGCAUGCAGGUGGUUUGUUAAGUCAGAUGUGAAAGCCCGGGGCUCAACCUCGGAAUAGCAUUUGAAACUGGCAGACUAGAGUACUGUAGAGGGGGGUAGAAUUUCAGGUGUAGCGGUGAAAUGCGUAGAGAUCUGAAGGAAUACCGGUGGCGAAGGCGGCCCCCUGGACAGAUACUGACACUCAGAUGCGAAAGCGUGGGGAGCAAACAGGAUUAGAUACCCUGGUAGUCCACGCCGUAAACGAUGUCUACUUGGAGGUUGUGGCCUUGAGCCGUGGCUUUCGGAGCUAACGCGUUAAGUAGACCGCCUGGGGAGUACGGUCGCAAGAUUAAAACUCAAAUGAAUUGACGGGGGCCCGCACAAGCGGUGGAGCAUGU
rnacentral:rRNA from 1 species